rnacentral:rRNA from 1 species
AUUGAACGCUGGCGGCAGGCCUAACACAUGCAAGUCGAACGAGUGGCAGACGGGUGAGUAAUGUCUGGGAAACUGCGCGAGGGAGGGGGAUAAGUACUGGCAACGGUAGCUAAUACAGAAUAACAGCGGCUGGGACCAGGUGGGAUUUGACAGUAGGUGGGGUAACGGCUCACCUAGGCGACGAGACCUAGCUGGUGUGAUAGGAUGACCAGCCAACCUGGAACGUAGACAGGGUCCAGACUCGUACGGGAGGCAGCAGUGGGGAAUAUUGCACAAUGGGCGCAAGCCUGAUGCAGCCAUGCCGCGUGUAUGAAGAAGGCCUUCGGGUUGUAAAGUACUUUCAGCGAGGAGGCGUUACUCGCAGAAGAAGCAUCGGCUAACUCCGGGCAAGCAGCCGCGGUAAUUC